CUGAUACAAUGAUGAUAGCAUAGUUCAACAGAAAAACCAUGACGAUUAUCCUAUUGUCUUUCGCUCCUAGCUGAUGUUUCGG